rnacentral:misc_RNA from 1 species
CGCACCGAGGAAGUGACAAUCUAAUGACAAUCUCAUCUGUAAGGACAAUCUCGCGUUUGACAUUGAAACGAAGGAAACAUCUUGUCGAUACGAUCGUCACCAGGACGUCAUCGCUGCCAGGGCAAAAUUUGCACAUUUCUUGGGAUGACGGUUCUCGCGACAUCCGGAUUAUCAUUUUUCGGAGGAAAUAGACGAAUAGUACGUAGAGCAAUUAAUCCAACGUUUCUUUUAGACGAGACCAUGCAACAACGUCUAACCUCAUUUUUCGCUACUGUCAACGAUCCGACAUUUCGUCCCGAUUUUUCCCGAAUUUAUAAAGAGACGGUAUCAUCACUGAAAACGAGACGAUCGACAACAAAUAACGCGGCGUCACGUGACCAGCGUCGUGAGGGGUAUCGUCGAGAGAUGGCGCCACCGACACCUGGCAAGGCUGGCAUCGUACGAAGAGGAAGGCGAACUUUCUGAUGUGAAAUUGAGUGAACGAGGAACACGACGUUCGAUCAUCUACUGCGGCACGAUAAUUAUUAACGUUAACGACCCUCCAAGCUAAGGGAGCAGUCCGCUUCCGUGAAGUCGAGGAUGUUUUGAAGCAGCUAGUCCACAACUAGCAUCAACAACACCACACAGUGUAUGAUACCUGAAGUUUUCACAAGGUGAUAAUCAAAAUGGCGUCUCAAGAAAGCGGCAAAGGGUCUGUGAAAUCUCCUACCAUAGAUAAAGUAGAUGCAAUUGCAGAGGAAUCAAUAACAGAUGAGAAAAAAUUGCCAAGUACUUCUUCAGUUGAGCAACAAAAUGGAUUGAGCGAUGUUGGUAAUCCAGAGGAGAAGAAGAAUUUAACAUUAGAUGUAACUGAUGAAGCAAACAGUGGAAAUAAACAGAAAAAGAACACUGAUAAUAUAGAAAAAGAAAACAAACACAAUUUGAACUCAUUGGCAAUUGACAAGAGUGAGCAGGACGAUAAUAAGGUAGAUAAGAAGCAGGAAAAUUUGACUUCACAUGAUGAUUCUCAAAGUGCAGAUGAUAAAAAGGAUGUUAAAAAUGAAGAUAAAGACGCUUCGGCAAAAGGAGGAUCCUUAAAACGGAAACGAAAAUCCUUAAGUGGUUCAUCGACGACAGAACCUCCCAUGGAGGAGAGCGGCACCAGAGGUAGUAAGAGGAAGAAGCUGAAGAGCACAAGCGAUCGAUUCUGUUGGCGGUGUCAUAAGGAAGGCGUCGAUGCUCAUUGUACCGCCUGUCCUCGUUCGUGGCAUCGCAAAUGCAUAGGUGGCAUGCCGACCUCCUUGGAGAAAUGGAUAUGCGGUGAAUGCGUGACCAUUCUGAGAGCCGAAAACGCUGAAACGCGUACUUUGUCAAUGGCGCAAUUGUCCGUGGAUCAGUUGUGUAUGCUGCUCAAACAUGUGGUUGAGAGAUUGCGCGAAUAUCCUGGGUCCGAACCAUUCUGCAAAGCAGUGGAUAUUGCAGAAGUGCCAAAUUAUUUGGAUUACGUGAUUAAGCCGAUGGAUCUGAGUCUUCUGGAGACAAAUGUACGGUCUAAACUGUAUGGCAGCACCGAUGCGUUUAUGGCAGAUGCAAAAUGGAUUCAACAUAAUUGCAUUGUAUUCAAUACUUGUGGCGGUGUUUACGCGGACACAUCGAAAUUGACGAAUGCGGCAAAGCAGCUUAUCAAAGUGGCGCGUCAGGAAGUCUCGGAGAUCGAGGCGUGUCCUGAUUGCUACGCGCACAGCCGUAACCUGCCGAGACAUCAACCGUCGUGGUUCAUCGAGCCUUGUCGUCGGCCACAUCCGCUUGUCUGGGCUAAACUGAAGGGUUUCCCAUUCUGGCCGGCGAAAGCGAUGCCGCGAGUGAACUCUCAAGGACACGUAGAUGUGCGCUUUUUUGGCGAACACGAUCGCGCCUGGGUACCACCGAAGGAUCUCUAUUUGUACUCGGAGGAGCCACCCGCGCCAUCUCCUCGCAAACGCAAGUCCGACAUGGACGAGUGCGUUCGUGAGAUUCAACGGCACUGUGGAAAGCUUGCACUUAUGUUCGGCCAAUUUAAGUACGCGCCAUCCAAAGUGCAAUAUGAUCCGAACGAUCCGAAGCAGAUACUGCUGAUGCUGCCGAAUUACAAUUCUCUCCAGCCUAACAGUCACUUUCCCAUCUCUGAAUCUCCUUCCGCGUCCGGGAAGAAAAAGAGCCCGCUGAAGAGACGGAGUUUCUCCGUUAAUAAAAGCAAUAAGUUACAAAGUGACGAAGCGACUGAUAACGAAGUAAACACCAGUUCGAAGGAAAACGAAAACGAUAAGCAGGAAAAGAGAAGUAGUGAAGCCACAGCACCAAAAGUACAAAAGUUAGAUGUCGUCGAUACUAAGAAUACUUCAAACUCACAUCUAAAUACUAAUCAUAGUAAAUUAGGUAACGCGAAAAAUCGGGAGACCGCUACAAUUGCUCAAAACAAAAACGUAAAGGAGGAGAAGUCGAAGAGUGCGGCAUCGGCGUCUCGGGGAAAUGUUGCGAGUGCGGAUAACGUCGCCGCAAACAGUACAACGAGUCCUGGUUCCUCGAAUAAAACCUCGUCGAAAUUAAAAGAGGAAACGAAAUCAUCGGCGGAGAGUUCGUCAGCGACAUCACCGGCCAGCGAAACGUCCGAAGUGUCGCGAGUGCGGAAGAGAAGUCUCUUGAAAAACAUCAUCAAUCCUCAGCUGGCGCUUUCCCAGACAGAGAAGACGACCACGAGGCACGUGAAGAACAAUAAAGUGUACAAACCGAAGACACGAAUGGUCGACAAAUUGAACGCGGAGAAGGCGUUGAAGUCCGUUUCCGCGAGCAAGGAAAAUGAGAAGUCGUCACCGAUCUUGAGCGGGAUGACACACAAGGUAUUGAACAACAACAAGGAAUCAUCGAAGGGUGCUCAGAAGACAUCGGGGAUCGAUAUAACGAUGCUACCGCCCGCGACACCGGCGUCGAGCGCGAAGAUUCUUCCCGUUUCGACGAAUCCGCUCUCUUCUGCGGCGGACAAGUCUGUACUGUUUCUCGUGGUGAACAACAGUGGCAAAAACGAGGCUGCGAAACAAGUCGCGACGACAGUCAAUAAGGAUGUGAAUUCCAUGCAGAAGGAGACGCAUCUUCAGAAGAAAGAGAGCAAGGCGAGAAAGACCUUGCAUAAUAAAUCGCACAAUACACAAAUCGUCCAGCACUUGUUGCCGAGUACAGGCGAGUCCACUGCGACUUGCCCGACGAAGCGAGAAACGUUCUCCGCUUAUCAAUUGCCAUCUCCGGAGGCCGGACCGAUCAGCGCGCGCUUGCAUCACGACGCGAACGAACUCGCGCGAAGAAUGGGUCAGUUGAUGGAGGAAGCGUACAAGGAGGCGGCGCAGGCCAAUGUCAAGGGCGAGAACGGCACCGCUGAGAAUUAUGAGACGACCGUAUUCUUCCUGCAGAUGCAAAUGGAGCAUAUGAAGUGGCAGCAUCAACAGCAGCUCGCCGAACUGAAACACAACAACGACCGUAUCCUGUUCGAAGUGCGAAAAAGUCUGGAAGCGGAGAAGUUACGAGCUCUCGAGGAAGCUCGCAGAGACGCCGAAGAGGAGAAGGUUCGAUGUAUCGAGGAGACCAAGCGGAAGCAGUGGUGCGCGAAUUGCGGGCGAGAAGCGGUGUUUUACUGUUGUUGGAAUACGUCCUACUGCGAUUAUCCGUGUCAGCAGUCUCAUUGGCCUACGCACAUGCAAACGUGCUGUUCGCAGGAGGCCUACAGCACCGUCACCGCCAGUCCAGGUGCGAGUUUGAACCAGCAGGUGAUGCCCAGACUCGUAUUAAGCACGCAUCACGCGGCUUCGAACGUACGGAGGGCCUAGAGUGGAUUGGUGUAAGUCUCGGCGGUUCAAACAGGAAGUUUACUUGAAAGAAUACUAGCAAUAACGCUACGACUCACGACUCUACGAGCAGGGUGUGUCCUCAACCAUCUAGCAAAUUGAGUGGAAUUCCGCCAUCGUGAUUUACGGU